CUACUGCCCUUGGACCCAGCAUUUAGGGUGAGAUUUCUCUUGCACUAGUCUUCCUCAUCAUUACCGCCACCCUCAAGGACCCCCAUAGCAGAGUUCCGGACCACUGUCCCCAGGUCCAAGGUAGUAACCUUGCUAGGAAGGCAGUUGCAAGAUAGUUGGACUGCACGGAUCAAGUCUUUGCCUGAUGUCUUUGGUUUGAAGAGGCUAACCACAACCCUAAGACUGGACUGAUCUUGAGCCAGCAUUGUCCUUCCUUGCAUGACUAAGCCAUCUAUCAGAAUGUUUAUCACCAUUCUUUAUGGAGCUACCCUGAACAUGGUAGGAGACUCCAUCUCCCCAGUGUCUGAGAAACAACCAAAAUCUGGGAAGACCAAGAGAAAAGCUUUGACUGCUGAGGGUCUGAGUCGAAAGGUGAGUAUCUAACUGGGAGACUCAUCUGGCCUUCAUCUUUUCUACCACUAACACAUACUAAAUCUGUCUUUGCUUCUGUUUCAGGCAAACUGAGAUCCUUCCUGUAUGAGAUGAUCAGGCUUAAAGAAAUAGAGAUCCUUAAAGUGAACAAAAGCAAGAUUUGAUCUUUCUCACACUAUUCACAUCCAGAGAAAGAACUAUGGAAGCAGAAACCCAGAAGAAAAACAACUGCUUGAUCACAUGGGUCAAUGGGAAUGUAAUUGGGGAUGUAGACUAAAUGAUCACUCUAGUACAAUUAUCAAUCAUAUGGAAAUAGGUCUUGAUCAAUGACAGAUGUAAAACCCAGUGGAAUUGAGUGUUGGCUGGUGGGAGAGGGAUAGCAGGGGAGGGAAAAAACAUGAAUCAUGAAACCAUGGAAAAAUAUUCUAAAUCCAUUAAUUAAAUAAAAUUUUUCAAUUCUAAACA
rnacentral:lncRNA from 1 species